rnacentral:lncRNA from 1 species
UUACCGACCGCCGUCAUAUAGCUGGAAUAUUGCUGGGUGCGGCGUUAAACAACCAACCAACCAACCAUCCGAUAACACCUUUCCCACAGCUGUCGAUGUCCACGUUAUAUUGAAUCCGGUGUCUACACCAGUGACGAUUUGCGAUUAAUUGCUGUCGCACUUGGUAACACUCAACAGCAACAAUUGUACCAUAUUGCGUCAUCCCAGUACAGGGAACCAGAUAACCUCAGCAAGUAUGAUGCCAAGGAAUGGUUGACACAUCAGAACCCUAUUGUUGUCGCCCUGUUACAAUCACUGACGAAUGUUAGUAGUUAUAGUUGUGCAACAAAACAUGUAUAUUUGGAACGUGCCUAUGAACACUUAUAUGGUGCAAGGAAUAGUAAUGUCAUUUGCCCGUUAUCGUUUGCCAUGAACCUGUUACUAUAUUAUGUUACAGGCAGUAAAGUUGCUUGCAAUCUGUCGUCCAUGACGAGUCCAUUUGGCUCUUACCAAAGCAUACUCAAGUGCAUCAAUGAACAACAAGCUGCCAUGCCUGAAAAGUGUCCAACAGCAGGAGAUAUUAUAACAUGUUUUUACAACAUCUACAUCUACAAUCAUUGGCGAGUGAGAUACGACGCUAAAGCCAUGAACAAGGUACAGAUGGCGUGAGUGACACUUUUGAUUGUGCUGUGUUGCCUGAUCCACCCACAGCUAUGGAUGACACCCAUUACACGGUCAAUUCGAGCCCAAGACUCGUGCCGCCAUGCCACGGACCAUCAUAAGGCUUGGCAGAUGCUGGAGAUGUGUCUGUGGGGGACGGGAGCUGAACUUCUCGUUCCUUUCAUCAGAGACUGUAAGCAACAUGGCAGGCAGGCAAGUGUGGCUCUUUUAUAUUCAUGGUUAUCAUGUGCAAAGAACAGGAACUACCUUUUCAUGGCCGAUGUUACUUUACCUUUAUCAUGGCACUGUUUCUAUUCCGGUGUGGCAUGAGAAGAGGAAACGAGAAGUUGAUCACGGAUGCACAGACAUAUAACAAUGUAAUAAAAUUCCUAUCAAACUGUUCUUAUUGUUAACAUUAUUGUAAUACAUUUGCAUAGCAGUAUGGUUUACUCAUGAAGGGCUAUUAUUCAGAAGUGAAUACAACUCUUGAAAAUCCAUUACAAUGUGGUCACAAACUGAAAACCGAGGGUCGGGAAAUACGGAGGUCAUUAUUCAAUGCCAAUUGAACCGCAGUAAGCUCCCCUUACAUUGGGAAAGGUGAACCUCACCACAGCAACACUACGCAGCUGUAGAAGUAUUGAUCCUUAAACACCAGUUAUUCCCCCUUACGUUAUAUCUUAAAGAGGCAGAGCAGUUUUCAGGACAGUAUUUACAUAUUCAGACAAACUUUAAAAACACAUAUUGCAGUGUGUGUACCAACUUAAUGAACACAAAUGAAAGGUGUGCGUAGUUUGGCAUCAUGCAUUACCAACGUUUCAUUUCAUUAAUUUUACAGUCAAUUGUAAAUUGCAAUGCUGGCAAAUAUUUAAUAUAUUAAAACUUUUAGGGUGCGUUUUACCGUUUUGUCAGUAUGAAUAUAGGUUUUUCAAAAGUUGCAUAUUAUCAAUUUAGUGUUUAGUUAUUACCUGGUCUAAGGUGUCUAUGUUGCUGCAUAUUCUCUGCCAGUGCUGUUCUGAAGGAAGUCCCGGCGGCAUCCACAUCUGUAUCCGUCUGUUUUUGGCCUCUCAAACAAUAUCUCCCCCUUCACCCCUGAAAUCCCCCCCCUGACGCCGACAAAGAAAUGUGAUUCUAUGAAGUCCUUCACCUCUGGUGGACUAGAAUUCCGCACAUGAUGAGUGACCGUGACACUAGCAUACCCUGAGUCAUCUAUCAUAUAUUUUCGUGAUAUAGUUCAUUGUGUCGUGUGUACCAACUGCGUGGAUCCUAUAAGAUUGUGAUAUGUUCAUAAGUUCUAACCGUAAUGUUGUAUGUUGCAUAACGCUGUAUCUAUUUCCACAGGGCCUUCCGAGCUGACGCCAUCUGCUAUGAUGAAACUAUCAUCUUAAGAAGUUCAACCUGCGUUUGCGAUUCCAUUAAACUACUUUUGUUAUACUGUACACAGGUUCAGGCAAAAAGCCUGGUCAUACAUUUAAGGGAUCGAUGCUCAUGAUAUCAAUCACUGGAUUGUCUGGUCCAGACUUGAUUAUUUACCGAACGCCGUUAUAUAGCUGGAAUAUUGCUGAAUGCGGCAUAAAAUCACAAACAUACAUUUAAGGAUUGACAGUGCCUCACGUGAGCAAAUUCCAUGAUGCGCGAAGAAGCCUUCUUGGUUUCUCAAUCUCAGUUGAUGGCCGGGGCGGUGGGGUAGCCUAGUGGUUAAAGCGUUCGGUCGUCACGCCGAAGACCCGGGUUCGAUUCCCCACUUGGGUACAAUGUGUGAAGCCCAUUUCUUGUGUCCCCCGUCGUGAUAUAGCUGUAAUAUUGCUAAAUGCGGCGUAAAACAAUACGUCUUUGGUUUUGCGUCUUCGUCCUACGUAUUCUUGCCAUGAUUUCUAUUCUCACCAAGGGCCGAGUGUUAGGCCAAUUAAACGGGUUUAGUGAGUAUGUUUGCGGAAUGAUCAUCCUGUUUCUGCCUCAACACAAUUGAACCAAAUUGUUCCACUUUGGCGCUUAUCUGGGCAGAACGGAAAUUUGUGCUGCGACGUUUAAUUAUCAAAACAGACCAUAGGCAACUGCGCAACAUAAUAUUUAGAGCUUUCAUAUUAUCAGUUUGAUGUGGAAUCAAGCAACUCGGGAGGAAAAGGCACAGAACUAUGGAGAAAGCCGGAACCAGCUAUUUGGUGAAUUUAAAUUUAGCAAUAUCUUGUGUAGUUGAGCAGAAUAAAUGUGUGCCAGCCA